CACAAUGUGAUGCUGGUGCACAAGCUGAUGGCGACCCAGAACUUUUAGACGACUCCGAGUUUUACCAGCAAUUACUGAAAGAAUUUUUUGAGACAAUUGACCCAGCAUCUUCUGAGACGGCCUUUUAUUCUCUGAAAAAGUUGCAUACUAAGAAGAGGAAGAUUGUGGACAGACGAGCCUCUAAGAGUCGCAAGA